GGCUGUUGAGAAGCUGAAGGGAUAAGGCCGGAUGUCCGCUGCCCAGGACAAGGCUCCUGCGUGCCUUUCCAGACUUGACUCAAGCCAGCUCCUAAAACCAGGCUCACGGCAGGCGCAGCCCUAAUCGUUGCUGGCGAGAUCAAGUGCGCCAGGCUCAGGGCAUUUGCAGGUCUGGAUCUGGAUUUUAAUUGUCUUGAUUGAAGGGGC